rnacentral:rRNA from 1 species
UACGUAGGGUGCAAGCGUUGUCCGGAAUUAUUGGGCGUAAAGAGCUUGUAGGCGGUUUGUCGCGUCUGCUGUGAAAUUUCGGGGCUCAACCCCCGAACUUGCAGUGGGUACGGGCAGACUAGAGUGUGGUAGGGGGAGACUGGAAUUCCUGGUGUAGCGGUGAAAUGCGCAGAUAUCAGGAGGAACACCGAUGGCGAAGGCAGGUCUCUGGGCCAUAACUGACGCUGAGAAGCGAAAAGCAUGGGGAGCGAACAGG